GAUGAUGAGAGUGGCGCACGGGUGAGUAAUACUGGGAACAUACCUAUAGUUCGGAACAACUGAUGGAAACGUCAGCUAAUACCGGAUACGCCCUGAGGGGGAAAGAUUUAUCGCUGAUAGAAUGGCCCGCGGCAGAUUAGGCAGUUGUGGGGUAAAGGCCUACCAAACCUACGAUCUGUAGCUGGUCUGAGAGGACGAUCAGCCACAUUGGGACUGAGACACGGCCCAGACUCCUACGGGAGGCAGCAGUGAGGAAUAUUGGGCAAUGGGGGAAACCCUGACCCAGGCCCAUGCCGCGUGAGUGAAGAAGGUUUUCGGAUUGUAAAGCUCUUUCGGGAGAGAAGAUGAUGACGGUAUCUCCAGAAGAAGCCCCGGCAAACUUCGUGCCAGCAGCAGC
rnacentral:rRNA from 1 species